rnacentral:misc_RNA from 1 species
AAGUCGUAACAAGGUUUCCGUAGGUGAACCUGCGGAAGGAUCAUUACCUUUUUCAGCACGGGGGCUGCAGUUCGCUGUGGUCUCUUGUCUGUAUCCAUGUCUUUUGCGUACUUAUAUGUUUCCUCGGCGGGUAACUCCGCCGAAUGGACAACCACAUAAACCUUUUUGUAAUUGCAAUCAGCGUCAGAAUAAAUUUAAAUAUUUACAACUUUCAACAACGGAUCUCUUGGUUCUG